ensembl:misc_RNA 7SK 7SK RNA
GGGUGUCAGGGCAACCUGACUGUGAUAUCCGUCACCCCACUGACUGCCGGGGUUGAUUUGGCAGGUCUGGCUGGUUGGGGGUGGGGGUGAGGAACAUCCCUUUCCUCCAUGAUUACUCCAUGUGUCUCUCCCAAAGCUGUGUGGUCCUUUGUGGAAGACGGUCAUUCUUCCAUCAAGGGCAUAAGAUUAGUUGCACUGCCCUGCUAGGACCUCCAAACAUGUUUUCAAAGGCAGCUAUUUAAGAGUUAGUCCAGCAAGACAUUUGAGCUGUCUCACUCCCUCAAGACCUGAUGCAGACACCGGCACUU